ACCUACCUAUGUCCGUUAUUUGAGUCGACAUAAAUUGAUGUCUCAGAAGUGGGACCAAAGGGAGCUCACCUCAGAUGGAUCUGCAGGCGCUGGAAUCGACUAUGGUCAUCACUUCAUAAUCUCCUUGAGUGAGGGCUGUACCAUCUCUAUCACCACCUUAACCCAGACUAUGAGCUUCUUUGGAUGGCUGGUGAACUCUGGCUAUUCCACUGCCCUCAGCACUGCCACUCCUGUCCUGAUGGCCCCUGGAGACUCAUACUGUGGUAAUGGUGAGCACAUCAACUGCUUUCAUCUGAAGAGCUGGUGCAGGCUCUGACGAAGCCAUGAUGUGUGUUACUUGCACCAGAGCCACUCACCUCUGCACUGCCAGUGGAUCCCUUAUGGAGUCCAAUGCUCACUCUUCCAAUGUAUUUUUGUCUAUCAAAGGUCACUUGGCUCUCUGCUCUUCUACGUAGCUUUAACAUAUUGCACUAUAGCUAUUUCUCAAGUUGUAGAUGUCAUUAGACUACAAAUUACCGCUGGGCAUACUAAUUAUCACUUCAC
rnacentral:lncRNA from 1 species